rnacentral:rRNA from 1 species
UACAGAGGGCGCGAGCGUUGUCCGGAUUUAUUGGGCGUAAAGAGCUCGUAGGCGGCUUGUCGCGUCGACUGUGAAAUCCCGCGGCUCAACUGCGGGUCUGCAGUCGAUACGGGCAGGCUAGAGUUCGGUAGGGGAGACUGGAAUUCCUGGUGUAGCGGUGAAAUGCGCAGAUAUCAGGAGGAACACCGAUGGCGAAGGCAGGUCUCUGGGCUGACACUGACGCUCAUGCACGAAAGCGUGGGGAGCAAACAGG